rnacentral:rRNA from 1 species
UACGUAGGGGGCAAGCGUUGUCCGGAUUUAUUGGGCGUAAAGAGCGUGUAGGCGGCCAUACAGGUCAGCUGUGAAAACUCGAGGCUCAACCUCGAGACGUCGGUUGAAACCGUAUGGCUAGAGUCCGGAAGAGGCGAGUGGAAUUCCUGGUGUAGCGGUGAAAUGCGCAGAUAUCAGGAGGAACACCAAUGGCGAAGGCAGCUCGCUGGGACGGUACUGACGCUGAGACGCGAAAGCGUGGGGAGCGAACAGG